AUCCAGCCGACGAGUCCCAAAUAGGAGGAAACGCGCAUUGUGGAU
rnacentral:hammerhead_ribozyme from 1 species